UGGGGAAUAUUGCACAAUGGGGGAAACCCUGAUGCAGCGACGCCGCGUGAACGAAGAAGGUAUUCGUAUCGUAAAGUUCUGUCCUAUGGGAAGAUAAUGACAGUACCAUAGAAGAAAGCUCCGGCUAAAUACGUGCCAGCAGCCGCGGUAAUACGUAUGGAGCGAGCGUUGUCCGGAAUUAUUGGGCGUAAAGGGUACGCAGGCGGUUUAAUAAGUCGAAUGUUAAAGAUCGGGGCUCAACCCCGUAAAGCAUUGGAAACUGAUAAACAUGAGUAGUGGAGAGGAAAGUGGAAUUCCUUGUGUAGUGGUGAAAUACGUAGAUAUUAGGAGGAAUACCAGUAGCGAAGGCGACUUUCUGGACACAAACUGACGCUGAGGUACGAAAGCGUGGGGAGCAAGCAGG
rnacentral:rRNA from 1 species